CCUACGGGAGGCAGCAGUGAGGAAUAUUGGUCAAUGGACGAGAGCCUGAACCAGCCAAGCCGCGUGAAGGAUGACUGCCCUAUGGGUUGUAAACUUCUUUUAUAUGGGAAUAAAAUGUUACACGUGUGGGGUUUUGUGUGUAUCCUAUGAAUAAGCAUCGGCUAACUCCGUGCCAACAGCCGCGGUAAUACGGAGGAUCCGAGCGUUAUCCGGAUUUAUUGGGUUUAAAGGGAGCGUAGGUGGGUCGUUAAGUCAGUUGUGAAAGUUGGGGGCUCAACCGUAUAAUUGCAGUUGAAACUGGCAGUCUUGAGUACAGUAGAGGUAGGCGGAAUUCGUGGUGUAGCGGUGAAAUGCAUAGAUAUCACGAAGAACUCCGAUUGCGAAGGCAGCUCACUGGACUGCAACUGACACUGAGGCGCGAAAGUGUGGGGAUCAAACAGGAUUAGAUACCCGGGUAGUC
rnacentral:rRNA from 1 species